rnacentral:rRNA from 1 species
UUGCAGGGUAUAGACCCGAAACCCGGUGAUCUAGCCAUGGGCAGGUUGAAGGUUGGGUAACACUAACUGGAGGACCGAACCGACUAAUGUUGAAAAAUUAGCGGAUGACUUGUGGCUGGGGGUGAAAGGCCAAUCAAACCGGGAGAUAGCUGGUUCUCCCCGAAAGCUAUUUAGGUAGCGCCUCGUGAAUUCAUCUCCGGGGGUAGAGCACUGUUUCGGCAAGGGGGUCAUCCCGACUUACCAACCCGAUGCAAACUGCGAAUACCGGAGAAUGUUAUCACGGGAGACACACGGCGGGUGCUAACGUCCGUCGUGAAGAGGGAAACAACCCAGACCGCCAGCUAAGGUCCCAAAGUCAUGGUUAAGUGGGAAACGAUGUGGGAAGGCCCAGACAGCCAGGAUGUUGGCUUAGAAGCAGCCAUCAUUUAAAGAAAGCGUAAUAGCUCACUGGUCGAGUCGGCCUGCGCGGAAGAUGUAACGGGGCUAAACCAUGCACCGAAGCUGCGGCAGCGACACUGUGUGUUGUUGGGUAGGGGAGCGUUCUGUAAGCCUGUGAAGGUGUACUGUGAGGUAUGCUGGAGGUAUCAGAAGUGCGAAUGCUGACAUAAGUAACGAUAAAGCGGGUGAAAAGCCCGCUCGCCGGAAGACCAAGGGUUCCUGUCCAACGUUAAUCGGGGCAGGGUGAGUCGACCCCUAAGGCGAGGCCGAAAGGCGUAGUCGAUGGGAAACAGGUUAAUAUUCCUGUACUUGGUGUUACUGCGAAGGGGGGACGGAGAAGGCUAUGUUGGCCGGGCGACGGUUGUCCCGGUUUAAGCGUGUAGGCUGGUUUUCCAGGCAAAUCCGGAAAAUCAAGGCUGAGGCGUGAUGACGAGGCACUACGGUGCUGAAGCAACAAAUGCCCUGCUUCCAGGAAAAGCCUCUAAGCAUCAGGUAACAUCAAAUCGUACCCCAAACCGACACAGGUGGUCAGGUAGAGAAUACCAAGGCGCUUGAGAGAACUCGGGUGAAGGAACUAGGCAAAAUGGUGCCGUAACUUCGGGAGAAGGCACGCUGAUAUGUAGGUGAAGUCCCUCGCGGAUGGAGCUGAAAUCAGUCGAAGAUACCAGCUGGCUGCAACUGUUUAUUAAAAACACAGCACUGUGCAAACACGAAAGUGGACGUAUACGGUGUGACGCCUGCCCGGUGCCGGAAGGUUAAUUGAUGGGGUCAGCGCAAGCGAAGCUCUUGAUCGAAGCCCCGGUAAACGGCGGCCGUAACUAUAACGGUCCUAAGGUAGCGAAAUUCCUUGUCGGGUAAGUUCCGACCUGCACGAAUGGCGUAAUGAUGGCCAGGCUGUCUCCACCCGAGACUCAGUGAAAUUGAACUCGCUGUGAAGAUGCAGUGUACCCGCGGCAAGACGGAAAGACCCCGUGAACCUUUACUAUAGCUUGACACUGAACAUUGAGCCUUGAUGUGUAGGAUAGGUGGGAGGCUUUGAAGUGUGGACGCCAGUCUGCAUGGAGCCGACCUUGAAAUACCACCCUUUAAUGUUUGAUGUUCUAACGUGGACCCGUGAUCCGGGUUGCGGACAGUGUCUGGUGGGUAGUUUGACUGGGGCGGUCUCCUCCUAAAGAGUAACGGAGGAGCACGAAGGUUGGCUAAUCCUGGUCGGACAUCAGGAGGUUAGUGCAAUGGCAUAAGCCAGCUUGACUGCGAGCGUGACGGCGCGAGCAGGUGCGAAAGCAGGUCAUAGUGAUCCGGUGGUUCUGAAUGGAAGGGCCAUCGCUCAACGGAUAAAAGGUACUCCGGGGAUAACAGGCUGAUACCGCCCAAGAGUUCAUAUCGACGGCGGUGUUUGGCACCUCGAUGUCGGCUCAUCACAUCCUGGGGCUGAAGUAGGUCCCAAGGGUAUGGCUGUUCGCCAUUUAAAGUGGUACGCGAGCUGGGUUUAGAACGUCGUGAGACAGUUCGGUCCCUAUCUGCCGUGGGCGCUGGAGAACUGAGGGGGGCUGCUCCUAGUACGAGAGGACCGGAGUGGACGCAUCACUGGUGUUCGGGUUGUCAUGCCAAUGGCACUGCCCGGUAGCUAAAUGCGGAAGAGAUAAGUGCUGAAAGCAUCUAAGCACGAAACUUGCCCCGAGAUGAGUUCUCCCUGACCCUUUAAGGGUCCUGAAGGAACGUUGAAGACGACGACGUUGAUAGGCCGGGUGUGUAAGCGCAGCGAUGCGUUGAGCUAACCGGUACUAAUGAACCGUGAGGCUUAACCUUACAACGCCGAAGGUGUUU